rnacentral:rRNA from 1 species
AUUGAACGCUGGCGGCAGGCCUAACACAUGCAAGUCGAACGGUAACAGGAAGCAGCUUGCUGCUUUGCUGACGAGUGGCGGACGGGUGAGUAAUGUCUGGGAAACUGCCUGAUGGAGGGGGAUAACUACUGGAAACGGUAGCUAAUACCGCAUAACGUCGCAAGACCAAAGAGGGGGACCUUAGGGCCUCUUGCCAUCGGAUGUGCCCAGAUGGGAUUGGCUAGUAGGUGGGGUAACGGCUCACCUAGGCGACGAUCCCUAGCUGGUCUGAGAGGAUGACCAGCCACACUGGAACUGAGACACGGUCCAGACACCUACGGGAGGCAGAAGUGGGGAAUAUUGCACAAUGGGCGCAAGCCUGAUGCAGCCAUGCCGCGUGUAUGAAGAAGGCCUUCGGGUUGUAAAGUACUUUCAGCGGGGAGGAAGGGAGUAAAGUUAAUACCUGUGCUCAUUGACGUUACCCGCAGAAGAAGCACCGGCGAACUCCGU